GCGGACUUCGUAUUAAUGGUAAGAUGCCCGGUCGCCAUCCGGGGGAUGCGGGUUCGAAUCCUGCAGUCCGCU
rnacentral:tRNA from 1 species